rnacentral:rRNA from 1 species
AUUGAACGCUGGCGGCAGGCCUAACACAUGCAAGUCGAGCGGAUGAAGGGAGCUUGCUCCUGGAUUCAGCGGCGGACGGGGGAGUAAUGCCUAGGAAUCUGCCUGGUAGUGGGGGAUAACGUCCGGAAACGGGCGCUAAUACCGCAUACGUCCUGAGGGAGAAAGUGGGGGAUCUUCGGACCUCACGCUAUCAGAUGAGCCUAGGUCGGAUUAGCUAGUUGGUGGGGUAAAGGCCUACCAAGGCGACGAUCCGUAACUGGUCUGAGAGGAUGAUCAGUCACACUGGAACUGAGACACGGUCCCGCCUCCUACGGGAGGCAGCAGUGGGGAAUAUUGGACCAUGGGCGACAGCCUGCUCCAGCCAUGCCGCGUGUGUGAAGAAGGUCUUCGGAUUGUAAAGCACUUUAUGUUGGGAGGAAGGGCAGUAAGUUAAUACCUUGCUGUUUUGACGUUACCAACAGAAUAAGCACCGGCUAACUUCGUG